rnacentral:lncRNA from 1 species
UAACCCCUUCCACAGCGCCCCGACGAGGUCGCACUGAGGCGCUGUUUUUCCAUAUGUCAAUGUUUAUGAAUAGAUUACACCAAAAAAGACAAGAGUAGUCUUGAAAAACUCUACAUCAGUUUAAAGCUACAUACCCUAAGCACCCAUUGCAGCUAGUUGUUUUUCAGUGGAAAGCUUAUAAAGAAUACCUAUUGUUUACACUGUUUUACCAUGGUACUCACACAUUAAAACGCCAUUUUUGCAGAAAAAGGCAAGUUUAUGUCAUAGCUUAUAUUGUUAAAGAUAAAAGGUGACCAAAACUGAAUAAAAAGCCAAAGUUAUAGUUACAAACAAAUCUACACAACAAAUCUAAACAAAGCCGAGUGUUUUGGCCGUCUGCAUUUCUCAGUCACUGCUCCGUCAAAAGCUAACUUACUUCCUUCUUCCCAGAAGGUUGACUGACAGAGAAAC